GCAAGCGCUGCCCAGCCAGGGCAGGGAAGGCACGGGACGGAGCCGUGGCUCGUCUUGAGGGGGGGGCACAGGGAGUGGGGGGGAAGCUCCCAACACCGCAUGCCACCGGUCUGGGAGCUGCUGCUCCGGCGGCCUAUCCAGUACUUGCCUGCACAUCCGGCUGCUCCUGCUGCUUGUCUGGGAGGGCACGGGUGUGCCCCCAGGUCUGCACCAAGCUCUUCCUGGCAGGGAGGGUCAGGACAGGGCAGUGCUGCACUGGCAAGGGGCUAACGGGAUUGUGGGGGGGCUGUAUUUACAAAUUUGCCAUAACCCCUUCCCAGUGCCACAGCUGCCUGGCCAGUGCCGCCCCACCCUGCUGGGAAGAGCUUGAUGCAGCCCCGAUCCGAUGGGAAGAGCUUGCAUGGGCACACAUCCCCGCCUUCCUGGACGAGCAGCGGGAGCUGCCAGACAAGCAGGUCAGCUCUGGAUGAGCCACCAGACCAGUGGCUCCCAGCCAAGUGGCACAUGGCAGUGGGAGCUGCCCCCCCUGCCUCCCUGCACUCCCCGGACAAGCCAUUGCUCCAUCCUGCGCCUGCCUCACCCAGCCCCAGCUGGGCAACGCUUGCCCCUGCCCCAUCCCACCUCCAACCCCCCUCCUCCCUUCUCCCCACAGGGGCUUUGAUCUGCCCCCCUACCCCACUUCCCUGCCCCCUCCCCUCACACCAGACUUACCAGCUGGAGGUAGCUCUCCACGCUUCCAGACUGUGCUCCUUGUUGCCUGUACUGUGUGCAUGCAUGGGCCAUUUAUUGGCCUGAUAUGGCUGAUAUCCAGUAUAUUCAAUUUUCUUUAUAUUGGUGCUGAUCCAAUAUCAGACCAAUGUAUCGGUGCAUCUCUACCAACAACCCUUCCCUCAGAAGCAGUAUGAACACAAACCCAUGUAUCACCCCUACCCCUAUUGGGGACCCUUCGACCCCAGGUUUGGCAACCCGAGAGUGGGGAAGUCUUGACCCAAAAGAGGUUACUCUCCGGGAUUGUGCAUUGUCUCCUUUGCCAUCACUGUCUGCUGGGGGUGCUGGUUCCCUCUGCAUUGCAAAGGGUCCUUUUAGUGGCAACGCAUACUCUCUGAGAGCACCGGUGCACCCCCUGUCGGCCGCACUAGCUGCUUAGGCGACGGGCAGGGGGGCAGGCGGGAAUGCCGGUGCCCCCCCUACAAGUGUUGGUCAAUCGCUGUGCUCACUGCAGCUGCUUUCAGGAGUGGCUGCGGCCACUUCUGGGAGCAGCUGCAACAAUUGGCCAGUGCUUGCUCCCAGAAGCAGCUGCAGCCACUCCUGGAAGUGGCUGCAGCGAGUGCAGCGAUUGGCUGGUGCAGGAUCGCCUGGGGGAACCUGCUGCCCCCUGGUCCACAGGAUCGCCCACCAGAGCUCCUCCCCUUGGUAGGCAGGACUGGUGGCAGGGGGAGCACGUGCCCCGCCUGACUAAGGCAGCUCCAGUCGCCCAUGGGUCCUUUGGUGAAUUGAUGCAACUCCACCGACCUGCUGUGGAGUGUCGAUCUCUGCUCCUGCCUGAGUGGCUGUAGGGAUGUGUUAUGAGUUCCUGCCCUGAAUUCCCAAUCCAUACCACACAUGGCUACCUGACUCAAACCCUGACUUUCUGUACCAUCUGGCCUCAGGCUCUAGCAAGCAUGCCAGUGUUCCCCCUCUCUUCCGCAGGGGACUCAGGGGAAAAAAAACAAAGAAAACCCCUCAGCUCAGGUGGCCUGAACCUUAAAUAACUUCCCUGACAUCACUGCAGGGUCCCAAUCAAGAAACAGCAUCGCUGGAACACUGCUAAUGAAGACCAAUCAAUUCAAAGUUCCAGUUGCACUCCCCCCCUCACCAAGGACUAUUAGGCAGCCCAGCCAGGCAGCUGCAGAUGCAAGAACAGACAGGCUGGUAAACAGCCUUAACGAAUGCAAGAACAGAAUAAAAGAACUGGUCCAACAGGUCCGAUGGUCUUUGGGAAGCAUCAUGGGGGGUGAGGGGGAUGGGCUCACAAAAGCACCCACACAGCCUUAAGGAUGCAUACAGAGAACCACAAGGAUUGCCAGGUGCUCUCAGGUGUACUGCUCACCAUUCUGGUGCUGGUGGUCAUCGGAACAAGGAUAUCUGGCACUCAUGCACUUUCUCAUGCCAGGCCACAGCCACAGGUCUCACAUAUUCAACCACUUGCAACAGAGAGCAAUCAGUCAAUCUCUGAUUAAAGACUGCCUUGCUGUUCCUCCAAGUGAUUUAAUCAGGUUCUUAAGCUUCCUGAUUCUUUUAUAGUUUUGGUAGUUGUUUUUAGAUUUCAGUAAUAGGUUAAUAGUAGCAUAUUACAGUUAAGAACAAUGACUCAGAAUUAGUUGUAUUCCUUUUCUGUUUUUUAUUUAUAUUACUAUUUCAUGUAAAUAAAGUUAAAUGUUGUCUUUGAUGGA